GGCCUUCUUCGGUGGGGGAGCCAAUUUGAUGAUCUCUUCCUCAGAGGGCUGCCGGAUAAUGUCUGGGGGCAAAAACCCCAUGUCAGGGAAAAAAAACUCCAAAACAACCAGGGCGAGGCUUGCUGUGGCAGUGAGAAGCUGAGAAAGAGCUGGAGGGUCUGGUGAGAAGUAGAGAACAUUCAAGGCCUUCCUUCCACUAAGAUAGGAACUGUGGCUAAGACAGAAGAAAGAAGGUCAGAUGUUUGAAUGGACUUUCUGGAUUUGAUAAAAUGUGACACUAGUCACUAGAUGGGAGGAGUGUAGGGAAUGCUUUCUGUGCUAGGCUCACCGCUUCCUCACACCUUCCUUCCUUCCUGCCUCCCUCUCCUUCCAAGCUGGCCCCAGGCACAGCCCUGACAAAGGUCAAACCAACUGAGGAUGCUGGGGAAGAGGGGCAGGAGUUUUAAAGAGGAACAAUCUGAAACCAUGGGGCUGGGAAAAGCUGCCAGAAAAUCAGGAUGGAUUUGGGGACAGUGGCCCUUUCUGUCCACUCAGCUGUCCUGUCGGACUGAUGACUUGGAGCCCGCAGUUCAGAAGACUCCUCAUGGGAUGCCCCACCCCACAGAGUGGGGGUGUGGUGGGCGGCCGGAUGCGUAGUCCAGGGACGUUUGUGAUUUGGAGUGUGCUAGACUAUGUGUAUAAGUCACAUGGGUGUGUGUCACUGUGUGUGCUGGCGUGCCUUAUAGGUGUGCGUGUUUCCCUGUCAGUUUUGACACGGAUUAUAUGAAAUUAAUAAGGGUUUUUACGUUAGAUAUACAUCACUUCUCUACACCCCCAGCUCCUCCUUCCCUCUGGACAAGCUUUCCGCCAAGCCCACCUCUUCCCCAGGUGCAGUGAGCUGGGGGUGAGGGCACAUGGUACCAGCCGCCCGCGGAACCGAGACAGGGCUGGGCCGGGAGACCGCCAGCGGAGGCGAGUCCGAAGCCUGAGCGGGGAGGGAGGGGCGGGCGCUGGCCUGGCCGAGCCGGCUGGGCGGGAAGCAGGCUGCAUCCUAAUCCACAGGCCCCGGUCCGACUCCCAAACUGCCGUUCAGCGUGGAACGGGCUGGCCGGAGCCACGCCGCCUCCAGCACACGCUCGGCGCUCGGGACGCACCGACCGAGGGACGGACCCCGUGAGGCCUGACACAAAGUGGACUCGUCCGGGGUCCCCACACUCCCCGUCUGGCCCCCGGUGUCCCAGAUCGUUGCCCCUCCAAGCCUAGACCCCGAAAUCUGCCCCUUCCCCGCGACAUGUCUCCUCUCCGCCCCUCUCACCGCCUCUGGAGCUGAGCGCUCAGGGCGCGGGCACUCCUGAGUCCCCGGUUCCUAAGCAGCGUCCGGAACCUCCUCCUCGGCUCCCGCCGCCGCCGCCGCCGCUUCUGCCGCCGCCGCCGCCUCUUCCGCCCGCGGAGCCGGAGCCCGAGCCCAGCGCCGCUCACUCCACCCGGCUGGCCGGUGAGGGCACCCUCCUCCCCUUUUGACCUUUGGAUGACCACGGUGCCUAGGACCCCUGGGAGGCACAGUAAGGGGUCUUGCCUCAGCUCUGGGCAGGGUUUGGCCCUGGAAAGAAGUCUGACCCUGGGAAACAUUUACUAGGGACAACUUUUGAGUGUCAGACCCUGUGGACACAAAGAAAAAGCUUGGGUUCCUGCCUUCAAGGGGCUCACAGUUGAGUGGGGAAGACAGACACGUAAAUGAAGAACAAUAACAGACUGUGCUGAGUACUGGAAUGGAAGUGCAGCAGGAACUCAGAAGAGGUCAUCACUGGAGGGGCCACCUCUGGGAAGGCUUCACCAAGGAAGUAUAAUUGGAGCUCUGUCUUGAUGUUCAAAUAAGAGCUGCAGAGAGGGUGCUAUCGAGCAGCACAUAAUCACUUAAUUACAUAUUGCUUUGUAUUCU
rnacentral:lncRNA from 1 species